rnacentral:rRNA from 2 species
AACACGGACCAAGGAGUCUAACAUGUGCGCGAGUCAUUGAGUCAAUUAAAGCUUAAAGGCGUAAUGAAAGUAAAGGUCUUCCUUAGCGUCGACCGAGGGAGGAUGGCUGACGUUACGAUGUUAGCUCGCACUCCCGGGGCAUCUCGUGUUCAUUGCGAACAGAGGUGCACCCAGAGCGCACACGUUGGGACCCGAAAGAUGGUGAACUAUGCCUGGUCAGGACGAAGUCAGGGGAAACCCUGAUGGAGGUCCGUAGCGAUUCUGACGUGCAAAUCGAUCGUCGGAACUGGGUAUAGGGGCGAAAGACUAAUCGAACCAUCUAGUAGCUGGUUCCUUCCGA